UAAGUUAAUAGAUAAGAUUUAUUUUUAAACUACACCCAAUGGCAUUUUCAACAUUUGGGGGUGGGGUGAGUGUGGUUCAUAAUUAAGGGGGAGGGAAUACUACCAAAGCCUUACCCUGAAAUUACACUCUCAUCAGUUUGAAACUAGUUGGCAGACUUUAAACAACACGAAGAAAUGGACACAGCACAAGCCUAGCAAAAAAAUAAAAAUUACAAUUAAAUUUAAAACAAAUAAAAAUUAAAUUAAAUAAACUAAGAAGGCUGUGCCUCCUUUUCGGCCAAAGCGUUGAAGACGUGUCGCAGGGCGACAAAGCACCAUUGGAGGAAUUUUCCCCAAGACCAGAAAAGUUGACCGAGUUGAGUUCUGCCAGUGUGUGUGUUUCGGGCAGGUACCUCCGGCCCCGCGGUGUCCUCUAAGCGCCACCCCGGCCCCGGGGCGCUGUAGGGGGAGCGGGGAGAGGGGGGAGGGGGCUCCGGGUCGCGCUCCCUGCGGCGCACGGGCUGCCUUGAACUCCCAGCUUCCGCGGUGGGAAGUGACGGGCGGCCCCUCCCAGCGAGGACUCCGCGCGCCUCCGGGGCGGGAGGCAACCCGAAUCCCCGCUCAGCGGAGCGGUCCCGGCCACGCGAACCGGACGGGCCCGGCGCCCCCGGCCCAGUCCCGCCCCGCCGCCAGCCCCGCGCCCCCGGGGCGGAGGCGCUCGGCCGCCCCGCUGCAGAGGCGCAAACUUUUACACCUACUUUUUGUUUCGCUUCGGGUCUGGCGUGGCCGUGGCACCGCCCCGCACCGGGACCCAGACACUGAUUUUCCACCGCCUAGGGACGGUGCCUCCCUCGCCCCGAGGUCUCGACCAGCUUUUCGGAGAACUAAGUUCUCACCCCGGUGGCUAAAAGUACGGUCCCCGGGAGGAGCGCUACGUCCGCUGCCACAACAAUGACAACAACUACCGUAGGAAGAACCCCCUAAGCGAGCGGGGCUGCACGGGCAGGCUGGACGGCGAGGCGGCGGGAACUAACUGCGCGCGGGGGUCGGAAUUAAAAAGAAACCCGGGAGCGCGGGGACGCGGGCGAGCAAGAGUGAGCUGCUCGUCGCAGCCUCUGUCUUGCCCGGCGCUCGGGCCGCCCGCCGUCUGUCUGUCUGUCCGAGACCGACUAGUUGUCCCUCCGCUGCUCAGGCAAAGUUUGACAAAUCCGGGGCACGGGGAGCGGAUUUCCCCUCGUCUCCCUCCCCUUCCCGCCCCGCGCGCCCCCCUCCCCAGAAAUAAUCCCAGCAACUGCCGGCCCAGCGUGCAAACUUACGUUUGAUCUGCCGGGGUUUGCUCUGUUUUCGCCGGGACAUCUCGGCGGCGGCCGCUGCCACUGAGGCUCCCGCGGUGCCCGCGGUCGGGGCUGCCGCUCCCUCGGCUCCCGCCGCCGCCGCUGGCCAGGCUCGGGCCGCCGCGGGCCGGUCUCCAGUUCUGCCACAGGGAAGCAGCCAGCGACUAAUAAAAGAUUUGAUCUUGCCAUAAUUUCCCAAGCAGGAAUGGACAAGGAACCCAAUUCUGGACAAAGGGAGAGUUUGUGGAGGCUUUUGGAAUGUGACCUUAUUUGGAGAUAGGAUCUUCACGGAGGUAAUCAAGCUAAAAUGAGGUCAUUAGGAUUGGCAAUAAUCCAAUAUGCCUGGUGCCCUUUUAGAAAAGGGAAAUUUGAAGACAGAGAAGGACACAGGAGAACACCAUGGGAGGAUGAAGACAGAGACAGGAGUGAUGCUCUUUCAAGGCAAAUAAUGCCAGCGAUGUCCAGCAAGAUACUAGAAGCUAGCAAAGAGACAUGGAAGAGAUUCAUCCUCACAGUCCUUAGAAGGACCCAAUUCUACUGACAUCUUGCCCUUGGAUGUCUGCCCUCUAGAACUGUGAAACAAUAAAUUUCUAUUGUUGAAGCCAUCCAGUUUGUGGUACUUUGUUAUGGCAGCCCUAGCAAACUAAUUAACUGAAUCUCUGGUGUAAUACUGCCCUCGGUACUGCUUUGUUUAUUGCUAACCAAGUGGCUUCUGUUUCAUUGUGUAACUCUCUGUGACCAGUAAUAU